AGAACGAAGCCCCGCCCCGGAACGAAGCCCCGCCUCCAGCAACUCUCUGCCCGGAGAGAGGCCCGACAGCUGCGACCCGACUGGUUCUGUCCGAGCCCGACGGGCCGCGCUGACCCAGCGACUGUGCCUGACUGACCACAGGUCAGUGGAUUCAAAACGAUGAAAGUGGAUUCAAAACCUCUGUCAAGGGGUGCUGUCCUUUCCUGGCCAAGUCUCUUUUAUUCUCUUAGGGCUGCAACCUCUUCACCUGGGAAAUGAAUGGUCCUGUGAUUUACAAGAGCAGAGACAGAGUUUCACCAUGUUGUUCAGGCUGGUCUCCAACUCCCGACCUCAAGUGAUCUGCCUGCCUUGGCCUCCCAAAGUCCUGGGAUUACAGGGUCCAGGCUGAAGGUGCAGGCCCUAUCCAAGACACAACAUUUCCAGUGGCAGAGAUAAAAAAGUAAGAUUUCAGACUCAAACAUGCAAUGGCACUCCAAGUUUCUGCUUCGAACUGGCAUGUAUCUCUCUAGCUCACAUUUCAUUGGCCAAAGGAAGUCAUGUGGUUAAGCUUGACAAUGGGCUGGGGAAGUGCACUCCUUCCUCUGGAAGGUACACAAGUCACAUGGCAACUGGCUAGGAUGGAUAAUUCUCUUACUGGCCAAGGGAAGGGCAAAUAAUGGAGAAAAAUAAUACGUCAACCACAGGGGUUGAGUAACUUUCCCAAGAUCAAACCACUGGGAAGGGACAGAGGCAGAUUCAAACUCAGACAGUCUCCAAAGCCAUAGUGAACUCCAUGGCUCCCUACUGCCUGUUAGAUGGAAUCCAAAUAUAUUUAAGCUUUAGGGCAUUCCUGCAGCCUGGAGGGCCCUUCUACC
rnacentral:lncRNA from 1 species